rnacentral:lncRNA from 1 species
CGAAAAUUUGCCAUAAGGUUCAAAAUAUCUAAAAUACAUAAAUUUGCAAACUGAAUACUUAUACAACUGUCCAAAAAGCCUCUAACUGUCUGAACUGUGGAGUUGAUGGGACAUGUCCCCAACUAACUUUGUCUAAUAAAAUAAACUAAAUAUAAUAAUGUGGUGAAAUAAUAAUCCAUCCUCGGAAUAUGAGGACUCACUGCUAGGUACUGGUCUGCUGCUACUGAUCUGGAACUCAUGUCUCUAAAUCUAUGGUGUCGAAUAAAAUUACAACACCAUAGUGCAAAUGCGUCAGUACGUUGGAAUGUACUAAGUGUGCAAAUGAGGUAAGGCUAAAUGCAAGGGCUUAUGCAUGAACAUAACUUAAUUGAAUAAUAUGCAAGAGAUAGAUUAGCAUACAUAAAGAAUAUGUAAUUACUGAACAUACUGCCCAUACUGUCACUAAGCAUACUCGGACUAACUCUGGUAACUAAUACUGAUUAUACUAAAAUUUUGAAAUUUCUGAACAUACUGAGAUUACGAGUAUCUGAAGCUUCUAGAACUGAUAGCAACCCUAUCUAACAGGUUGUCUCUGAAUCUACUAAUAAUAAGAAUGAUUGACUGAAUCUGAGAUCAACCCUAUCUAGCAGGUAGUCUCUAAAUCUAUGGAUAAUAAUACUACUUGAUAACUGAUUUCGAGAUCGGCCUAUCUACCAGCGGAUCUUCGAAUUUGUAAAUAAUCAUACUUGGUGGUCUGUAUCUAACAGCCUUGAAUUUUAUACACUGAACUGAGCUCUUUAUUGAAGUUUGAGACUGAUUCUGAAACUGAGACUGUGGGAAGUAGUCAUCUAACUAACAUGCCCUGCCUAGCUAAGUCGGGGUCCAACCUCUGCCCCAGUUGGAAGGGUGUCAGUACCGCGCCACUGGUAAAGACUACUUUAUAUGACCCUCAUCUAUCAAGUACUCAAACGAGAAUGGUGAAGCCCUCAUCUAACAGGUCAAGCCUCCUCAUCUACCCUCAACUAGCAGGUAUAUAUCAUGCUUUCAAGUAUAUACAAUUAAGGAUUUCAUGCUAACAUGUUACCAUCCAUUCACUAAAGUUUUUUAACAAACACUUGGCAUGCAUAGCUUAUACAUAGCUUGGGAAUUUCUUGUCAACAUAUUAUAAUGACUCUAUUUUCUUCACAUGAGCACUUUAUGAAACACUUGAAUGGCAUGAACUAGUACACAUGUUUACAUGAUAUAAUUUAUCUUUUUUAAUUCACACAACCAUUCAUCAAAUACUUGGAAGGCAUAGUAUUUAAUCAUAAUACUAAUCAAUACUUAAUAUCACAAUUCCAACACCAAGUUCACCAUCUCAAAGCUCUAAUAUGAGUUCACAUAGUACUACAUAUAUAAUAAUUAUUAAUUUCACAUAAAUCAUACACUUAGUCAUGGGUUAUAAAUCAAAUCAACAAUAUAAUCAUGAAUACACUUAAAUCCACUCAUGGAUUCUUUAUCCAACUUGUAGUUACAUAAAUCAUACUACAACUAAUUAAUUUUCAUGAAUCUUGAGGUAAAUCAUGGAAUUAAAAUCAAUCUUACAUCAUAAUUAAUGUCUAACUUAGAUCCAAUAUAAAAUCUAUGAAAUCAACUAAUCUUGAAGGAUUUAUCAUAAACAUCAUGGAUUUUAUACUUAACAUACUACAAUGGUACUAUUUUCUUCAUAUAGGCAUUUUAUCAAACAUGUAGGGAGCAUGCUUUAGUUAUUCAACAAUUAUUACUUAUAAAUAUUAUGAUUCCAUCACCCAAAGAUUUCAACAUACAUGAAAAAUAUAAUUAUUUCCAACGUCAUUUAGCAUAUAGCAACAACACGCUUUACUCAUCUUAGCCUUACAACAAUUUAUCACACCAAUUAACAUAAUUACAUAAUUUUACAUGCUUCUAAAAAAAGACUUUAUCAUGAACACAGUAAAAUCAACACAUACUAGGGUCUAAACUUGAGUCUUUAUCAUCACAACAUAAAUGUAACUUCAACAACAUCAAGAACACAAAUUUCAUACCACAUAAAUCAUAAAACUCAUAAAAAUAAAAUCUUUAAAUUUAGGAAAAAGGAUUCUUGAGCUUCUUGGGUGGAAGGAACCCAAAAAUCAACACUUGCAUACCUCAAGUUUAUGAAUCCGGAUGAACUCUUGAUUCCGGAACUCUAUACGUAAGAUUCAUAGGUGCUCCUUGUAUCUCUCACAAUGGGGAUUCCAAAUCUCAAAUUAUUUUCAAGUUCCUACGGUUGAAUUUAGAGGGAUCUUGAUUUUUAUUUUGGAAUUGAGGAUGUUUGUUCUUGAGAGACUUUUCCAAAAGGGAGU